rnacentral:rRNA from 1 species
UGAGGAAUCUUGCGCAAUGGGCGAAAGCCUGACGCAGCGACGCCGCGUGGAGGAUGAAGGUCUUCGGAUUGUAAACUCCUGUCGAGUGGGACGAAUGCCGUGAGGGUGAACAAUCCUUGCGGUUGACGGUACCGCUGGAGGAAGCCCCGGCUAACUCCGUGCCAGCAGCCGCGGUAAUACGGAGGGGGCUAGCGUUGUUCGGAAUCAUUGGGCGUAAAGGGCGCGUAGGCGGCCGAUCAAGUCGGAGGUGAAAUCCCUCGGCUCAACUGAGGAAUUGCCUUCGAUACUGUUCGGCUUGAGUCCUGGAGAGGGUAGCGGAAUUCCCGGUGUAGCGGUGAAAUGCGUAGAGACCGGGAAGAACACCAGUGGCGAAGGCGGCUACCUGGACAGGUACUGACGCUGAAGCGCGAAAGCUAGGGGAGCAAACAGGAUUAGAUACCCCCGUAGUCC